rnacentral:rRNA from 1 species
UAUCAAGUUUGGAACUGCGAUGGCUCAUUAUAUCAGUUAUAGUUUAUUUGGUGAAGUGUACUACUUGGAUAACCGUAGUAAUUCUAGGGCUAAUAAAUGAGAAAGUCCAAUAGUGAGGUGUGCUUAUUAACCU